rnacentral:rRNA from 1 species
UACGAAGGGGGCUAGCGUUGCUCGGAAUCACUGGGCGUAAAGCGCACGUAGGCGGAUUGCUAAGUCAGGGGUGAAAUCCUGGAGCUCAACUCCAGAACUGCCCUUGAUACUGGCGGUCUCGAGUCCGGGAGAGGUGAGUGGAACUGCGAGUGUAGAGGUGAAAUUCGUAGAUAUUCGCAAGAACACCGGUGGCGAAGGCGGCAUCCUGGACCAACACUGACGCUGAGGAGCGAAAGCCAGGGGAGCAAACGGG